UCCGUAGGUGGAUAAUUAAGUCAGAGGUGAAAUCCUGCAGCUCAACUGUAGAAUUGCCUUUGAUACUGGUUAUCUUGAGUCAUUAUGAAGUGGUUAGAAUGUGUAGUGUAGCGGUGAAAUGCAUAGAUAUUACACAGAAUACCGAUUGCGAAGGCAGAUCACUAAUAAUGUACUGACACUGAGGGACGAAUGCGUGGGGAGCGAACAGGAUUAGAUACCCUGGUAGUCC
rnacentral:rRNA from 1 species